rnacentral:rRNA from 1 species
GACGAACGCUGGCGGCGUGCUUAACACAUGCAAGUCGAACGGAAAGGCCCUGCUUUUGUGGGGUGCUCGAGUGGCGAACGGGUGAGUAACACGUGAGUAACCUGCCCUUGACUUUGGGAUAACUUCAGGAAACUGGGGCUAAUACCGGAUAGGAGCUCCUGCUGCAUGGUGGGGGUUGGAAAGUUUCGGCGGUUGGGGAUGGACUCGCGGCUUAUCAGCUUGUUGGUGGGGUAGUGGCUUACCAAGGCUUUGACGGGUAGCCGGCCUGAGAGGGUGACCGGCCACAUUGGGCCUGCGAUACGGCCCAGACUCCUACGGGAGGCAGCAGUGGGGAAUAUUGCACCAUGGGCGGAAGCCUGAUGCCGCAACGCCGCGUGCGGGAUGACGGCCUUCGGGUUGUAAACCGCUUUCGCCUGUGACGAAGCGUGAGUGACGGUAAUGGGUAAAGAAGCACCGGCUAACUACGUG